rnacentral:snRNA from 1 species
AUCGCUUCUCGGCCUUUUGGCUAAGAUCAAGUGUAGUAUCUGUUCUUAUCAGUUUAAAUUUGCAGGACCACUCGGUUAUGAGUUAUGGUAUGUGUGAAUGUGCACACACACACACACACACACA